GACGAACGCUGGCGGCGUGCUUAACACAUGCAAGUCGAACGGAAAGGCCCUGCUUUUGUGGGGUGCUCGAGUGGCGAACGGGUGAGUAACACGUGAGUAACCUGCCCUUGACUUUGGGAUAACUUCAGGAAACUGGGGCUAAUACCGGAUAGGAGCUCCUGCUGCAUGGUGGGGGUUGGAAAGUUUCGGCGGUUGGGGAUGGACUCGCGGCUUAUCAGCUUGUUGGUGGGGUAGUGGCUUACCAAGGCUUUGAUGGGUAGCCGGCCUGAGAGGGUGACCGGCCACAUUGGGACUGAGGUAGGGCCCAGACUCCUACGGGAGACAGCAGUGGGGAAUAUUGCACAAUGGGCGGAAGCCUGAUGCAGCAACGCCGCGUGCGGGAUGACGGCCUUCGGGUUGUAAACCGCUUUCGCCUGUGACGAAGCGUGAGUGACGGUAAUGGGUAAAGAAGCACCGGCUAACUACGUG
rnacentral:rRNA from 1 species